rnacentral:rRNA from 1 species
UACGGAGGGGGCGAGCGUUAUUCGGAAUUAUUGGGCGUAAAGGGCGCGUAGGCGGCUUGGCAAGUCAAAGGUGAAAUCCCUCGGCUCAACUGAGGAACUGCCUUUGAAACUGCCUGGCUUGAGGCCGGGAGGGGGUAGCGGAAUUCCCAGUGUAGCGGUGAAAUGCGUAGAUAUUGGGAGGAACACCAGUGGCGAAGGCGCUACCUGGACCGGUUCUGACGCUGAUGCGCGAAAGCGUGGGUAGCAAACAGG